CUAGCUUUGGCGAUGGAUCGGUCGAUUCGCGUAUCGAUGAAAAACGCAGCUAGCUGUGUUGUUUACCACGAAUUGCAGACGCUUAGAGUGGUGAAAUUUUGAACGCAUAGCGUCGUUGGGUUUUCCCUUCGGCACUUCUGGUUCAGGGUUG
rnacentral:rRNA from 1 species